rnacentral:misc_RNA from 1 species
UCUCCGUAGGUGAACCUGCGGAGGGAUCAUUACCGAGUGAGGGCUCACGCCCGACCUCCAACCCUUUGUGAACACAUCUUGUUGCUUCGGGGGCGACCCUGCCGUUUCGACGGCGAGCGCCCCCGGAGGCCUUCAAACACUGCAUCUUUGCGUCGGAGUUUAAGUAAAUUAAACAAAACUUUCAACAACGGAUCUCUUGGUUCUGACAUCGAUGAAAACGCAGC